rnacentral:rRNA from 1 species
UACGUAGGGCGCAAGCGUUUGUCCGGAAUUAUUGGGCGUAAAGAGCUCGUAGGCGGCCUGUUGCGUCCGCUGUGAAAACCCGGGGCUUAACCCCGGGCCUGCAGUGGGUACGGGCAGACUGGAGUGCGGUAGGGGAGAAUGGAAUUCCUGGUGUAGCGGUGGAAUGCGCAGAUAUCAGGAGGAACACCGAUGGCGAAGGCAGUUCUCUGGCCGUAACUGACGCUGAGGAGCGAAAGCGUGGGGAGCGAACAGG